AUUGAACGCUGGCGGCAGGCCUAACACAUGCAAGUCGAGCGAGCGGCGGCCGGGUGAGUAAUGUCGGGGAAACUGCCUGAUGGAGGGGGAUAACUACUGGAAACGGUAGCUAAUACUGCAUACCAUCAGAUGUGCCCAGAUGGGAUUAGAAAGUAGGUGGGGUAACGGCUCACCUAGGCGCCGAUCCCUAGCUGGUCUGCGAGGAUGACCAGCCACAUUGGAACUAUGGAACGUUCCAGACUCGUCCGGGAGGGAGCAGUGGGGAAUAUUGCACAAUGGGCGCAAUCCUGCUGCAGCCAGGCCGCGUGUGUGAAGAGGGCCUUCGGGUUGUAAAGCACUUUCAGCGGGGAGGCGUUACCCGCAGAAGAAGCACCGGCUAACGCCGUGCCAGCAGCCGCGGUAAUAC
rnacentral:rRNA from 1 species